UACGAAGGGGGCUAGCGUUGCUCGGAAUCACUGGGCGUAAAGGGUGCGUAGGCGGGGCUUUAAGGCAGGGGUGAAAUCCUGGAGCUCAACUCCAGAACUGCCUUUGAUACUGAGGAUCUUGAGUUCGGGAGAGGUGAGUGGAACUGCGAGUGUAGAGGUGAAAUUCGUAGAUAUUCGCAAGAACACCAGUGGUGAAGGCGGCUCACUGGCCCGAUACUGACGCUGAGGCACGAAAGCGUGGGGAGCAAACAGG
rnacentral:rRNA from 1 species